rnacentral:misc_RNA from 1 species
GAAAUGCGAUAAGUAAUGUGAAUUGCAGAAUUCAGUGAAUCAUCGAAUCUUUGAACGCACAUUGCGCCCGCCAGAAUUCUGGCGGGCAUGCCUGUUCGAGCGUCAUUUCAACCCUCGAGCUCCCCUUUCGGGGGGAGCCCGGCGUUGGGGACCCGGCGCUAACAACGCCGGCCCCGAAAUGGAGUGGCGGCCCGUCCGCGGCGACCUCUGCGUAGUAACAACCACUCGCACCGGGACCCGGGCGCGGCCACGCCGUAAAACACCCCACCUUCCGAAUGUUGGCCUCGAAUCAGGUAGGAAUACCCGCUGAACUUAAGC